UUUAAUUGAAGAGUUUGAUCAUGGCUCAGAUUGAACGCUGGCGGCAGGCCUAACACAUGCAAGUCGAACGGUAGCACAGAGAGCUUGCUCUUGGGUGACGAGUGGCGGACGGGUGAGUAAUGUCUGGGAAACUGCCCGAUGGAGGGGGAUAACUACUGGAAACGGUAGCUAAUACCGCAUAACGUCUACGGACCAAAGUGGGGGACCUUCGGGCCUCACACCAUCGGAUGUGCCCAGAUGGGAUUAGCUGGUAGGUGAGGUAACGGCUCACCUAGGCGACGAUCCCUAGCUGGUCUGAGAGGAUGACCAGCCACACUGGAACUGAGACACGGUCCAGACUCCUACGGGAGGCAGCAGUGGGGAAUAUUGCACAAUGGGCGCAAGCCUGAUG
rnacentral:rRNA from 1 species